CCUACGGGCGGCAGCAGUGGGGAAUAUUGGGCAAUGGGCGCAAGCCUGACGCAGCAACGCCGCGUGAGGGAAGAAGGCUUUCGGGUUGUAAACUUCUUUUAAGAGGGAAGAGCAGAACGCGAUACCUCUUGAAUAAGCCACGGCUCACUACGUGCCCACAGCCGCGGUAAUACGUAGGUGGCAAGCGUUGUCCGGAGUUACUGGGUGAAAAGGGCGUGUAGGCGGGCUGACAAGUCAGAUGUGAAAUUCCGGGGCUCAACCCCGGACCUGCAGUUGAAACUGUUGGUCUUGAGUAUCGGAGAGGCAGGUGGAAUUCCUAGUGUAGCGGUGAAAUGCGUAGAUAUUAGGAGGAACACCAGUGGCGAAGGCGGCCUGCUGGACGACAACUGACGGUGAGGCGCGAAAGCGUGGGGAGCAAACAGGAUUAGAUACCCGUGUAGUC
rnacentral:rRNA from 1 species